UACGGAGGAUGUGAGCGUUAUCCGGAUUUAUUGGGUUUAAAGGGUGCGUAGGCGGACUGUCAAGUCAGCGGUAAAGUUGAGAGGCUCAACCUCUUCCCGCCGUUGAAACUGGUGGUCUUGAGUGGAUGAGAAGUACGCGGAAUGCGUGGUGUAGCGGUGAAAUGCAUAGAUAUCACGCAGAACUCCGAUUGCGAAGGCAGCGUACCGGCGCCCAACUGACGCUGAAGCACGAAGGCGUGGGUAUCGAACAGG
rnacentral:rRNA from 1 species